AGCGAACGCUGGCGGCAGGCUUAACACAUGCAAGUCGAGCGGGCAUAGCAAUAUGUCAGCGGCAGACGGGUGAGUAACGCGUGGGAACGUACCUUUUGGUUCGGAACAACACAGGGAAACUUGUGCUAAUACCGGAUAAGCCCUUACGGGGAAAGAUUUAUCGCCGAAAGAUCGGCCCGCGUCUGAUUAGCUAGUUGGUGAGGUAAUGGCUCAGCAAGGCGACGAUCAGUAGCUGGUCUGAGGGGAUGAUCAGCCACAUUGGGACUGAGACAGGGCCCAAAAGCCUACGAGAGGAAGCAGUGGUAGAUGUUGGACAAUGGGCGCAAGCUUGAUCCAGCAAUGCCGCGUGAGUGAUGAAGGCCCUAGGGUUGUAAAGCUGUUUUGUGCAGGAAUAUAAUGACGGUACCGCAAGAAUAAGCCCCGGCUAACUUCGUGCCAGCCGCCGCAGUAA
rnacentral:rRNA from 1 species